AGUGAACGCUGGCGGUAGGCCUAACACAUGCGAGUCGAACGGCAGCACAGUAAGAGCUUGCUCUUACGGGUGGCGAGUGGCGGACGGGUGAGGAAUACAUCGGAAUCUACUUUUUCGUGGGGGAUAACGUAGGGAAACUUACGCUAAUACCGCAUACGACCUACGGGUGAAAGCAGGGGAUAUUCGGACCUUGCGCGAUUGAAUGAGCCGAUGUCGGAUUAGCUAGUUGGCGGGGUAAAGGCCCACCAAGGCGACGAUCCGUAGCUGGUCUGAGAGGAUGAUCAGCCACACUGGAACUGAGACACGGUCCAGACUCCUACGGGAGGCAGCAGUGGGGAAUAUUGGACAAUGGGCGCAAGCCUGAUCCAGCCAUACCGCGUGGGUGAAGAAGGCCUUCGGGUUGUAAAGCCCUUUUGUUGGGAAAGAAAAGCAGCGGGUUAAUACCCCGCUGUUCUGACGGUACCCAAAGAAUAAGCACCGGCUAACUUCGUG
rnacentral:rRNA from 1 species